CCUCUCGCACAUGCACAUCUCCCCGACGGCUUCGCCUCACCAGCGGCAGGCCACCCCGCGCCCAACUAGCCUCGCCUCGCACCGGAGGCGGCCGGAAGCAGGCCAACCCUCCACCCGACUCGCCUCGCCUCGCACCGGAGGCGGCCGGUGGCAGGUCGGACCCCCCCUCCCCUCGCCGCUGCGGCCAUCUACCACCACCAUCCUCGCCGCUCCCUCCCUCGCCCACCCAUAUCUAGACGCCUAACCGGGAGAGGAGGAGGGGGUUGACAAGGAGAGAGCAGUCAGCCGGUGGCAGCGGCGGCUCCGAGUACAGCCACACCGAGCGGCCCAUCCAAGAAACCAGCCCUGCCGCCCUGCUGCUCCCAACCCCCCUGAGUCUCAACCUCGCCGCCUAUUCUGGUCGAUGUUGUGAUUGACAAUAACCAGGAAUAUUUCACCGCUCAGUUCAUCCAUUUGAAUCCUUCUGCUGUAAUUCUGUUACCUACCCUUUCUUACUUGCAGGAAAUUCAAGUGGGUACACAUAAAGACGAUCACGGUGGAGGAGAUCUCGACGGUCGAUGUGAAGCUGGGGCGGAAGAAGGGCACGAAUAUCACCUUCCUAGAAGGAACGAUCUGAUUUUUCUGUCUUAUUUGCAGCGUAAACUAUGUUUACCAUUCAUUCUGUCCAGGAGCAUCCAGACAGGGAGGUGCUUCACACCCUGCGUCUAGGCAUGUACUGCAACGCCAACCACAUGGCAAAGAUUGCUGACAACUGUUAAGAGAAAGCAAACAACUGAGGAGGAACAAUCUUGUUUGUGCCUAAUGAUGGUUGCCUGAACCUGACACCAGAUACCAUGACAACCUUGAACUUGGACACCAGGGAUAUCUCCCACGGCGUGCCUCUUUAGACCAAAUCCAGCAAUCAACACCUCAUCAAUUUGCUCCAUGAAGUUCAGGAACCAUCAUUAAGCACAAACAAGAUUGUUCCUCCUCGGUUGCUGGCCCUUUAGUCAUAAAAAAUGAUGUGUUGUGCUGGUUAGCAAGUUUUAUCUCCCCCGUGGAUGCAGAUUUCAGAAUAUAUUCAUUUUUUCAGUACGAUAGCUUGCAAGUUGCAAUGUACCACAAAGCUAGCUAUUAGCUGACCUAUCUUUUCUGGUUGGAGCGUGUUUGAUUUCCAACAAAACAAUUCAUCCAGCUAUCCUUUCUAU